AUACGUAGGUGGCAAGCGUUAUCCGGAAUUAUUGGGCGUAAAGAGGGAGCAGGCGGCAGCAAGGGUCUGUGGUGAAAGCCUGAAGCUUAACUUCAGUAAGCCAUAGAAACCAGGCAGCUAGAGUGCAGGAGAGGAUCGUGGAAUUCCAUGUGUAGCGGUGAAAUGCGUAGAUAUAUGGAGGAACACCAGUGGCGAAGGCGACGACUUGGCCAGCAACGUACGCUCAGUCCCGAAAGCGUGGGGAGAAAAUAGGAUUAGAUCCCCUAGUAGUCUACGCCGUAAACGAUGAGUACUAAGUGUUGGAUGUCAAAGUUCAGUGCUGCAGUUAACGCAAUAAGUACUCCGCCUGAGUAGUACGUUCGCAAGAAUGAAACUCAAAGGAAUUGACGGGG
rnacentral:rRNA from 1 species